GUGGGUUAACUCGGUAACUUGUACUUAUUGGUGUAGUCAACAUACAAUUAAAAAUUAUACAACAGAGUGAUAUCUUCUUUGGUCUAUUUCUUAUUAAUGUUUAAGAAUCCUGCCAUGUCAAGUUAGAGUCAGGUCCUUUCUGUUUUUUUUUUUCUAGUUAAUAUAAUGUUAUAGUGUUUGUUUAGUGCGAGUUUUACAAAUUAUGUGAUGUUUAUUUCAUGCUAUCUUCCCUC
rnacentral:lncRNA from 1 species